rnacentral:rRNA from 1 species
UAGUCAUAUGCUUGUCUCAAAGAUUAAGCCAUGCAUGUCUAAGUAUAAACAACUUUAUACUGUAAAACUGCGAACGGCUCAUUAUAUCAGCAAUAAUUUAUUUGAUGGUUUCUUACUACAUGGAUAACUGUAGUAAUUCUAGAGCUAAUACAUGCGUAAAGUCCCAACUCUCGCGGGGAGGGAUGUAUUUAUUAGAUAAAAAACCAAUGCGGGUUCUGCUCGCCUUUGUGUUGAAUCAUAGUAACUUUUCGAACGGCAUAGCCUUGUGCUGGCCGUA